GCGGCCUCCACCAGGCUGCAGGAUAUGAGGGCCAUUUAAUUAGGCCCUGCACCACUCUCGGGUGUGAAAAGGCUCUCAAACGCUUUGAUUCCCCGCUGCUUCGCAGCAGGAAGUUGUUGGCGAUAAUUGACAUAGGAUUUCCUUGUUAACCAGCAGCAGACACGCCGGAUUAAAGCGACAGAGAUCUCGAGAAGAAAGUGAAAGAGAUAAGAAGCUCGGAAGACUUCUGCUUAUUUGGCACUUGAGGAUGGCAGGAAACAGCAAUAACCUACUCAAGUGGCGACUCUAGAGUGGAAGGGCGUCCCCUUAUCAGACCUAUUUCAGCUUGGCUGAUCAAAGAUUGACUCCCCGCAAAAUCACAUAGGCCUGGGGUUUGUUAGUUUAUUAAGCAGCAGGUUUUAGGAAUUAUCACAGGUUUAAAGAUGGAUUGCAGUUUAUGUGAAGGGGGAGAGGAUUAUCGGGUUUUCAUCUUAACAAUUAUAAAAUAUCACAGCUGAAAGCUUGCUUGCAAAUGACAUAAUUUUCCACUGCCAACUAAACAGGUCAUUGUGAGGCUGCCUGUGAGCGCACUCAACGAGGGAGGAAAUACAGGCAAAUUAACUCUGGGGAGGACCGGGGAUGAGGGGCCUCCACGCCUUGUUCCACUUCGGAAGACGGUGCGAUCUCAUUUUGCCCUGUGCGAUUCCUUAGAAGAUACUCAGCUAGAAGAUUCCUCUGUGAGGCUGCUAGUACUUCUCCAGCAGACCAAGCCAGGAGAGCUUUCUCAAAG
rnacentral:lncRNA from 1 species